GUAUUGAAGGGGAGUUAGGAAGCACGAUAUCCAGAAGUGUUAGGUAGCCUCCCCCUAUAAUUAAAUAAAAUUUACUUACAAGUUACAACGAACAUAUAUAUAAUUCAAAGCUAAUAUUCUAUCCCAUUUUUGCGCAUGGUUUACUUGGGUGUUUUUUUCCAUUUUAUAACAAAUUUACAUUAUACUAUUAAUAAGAUUUUUUCCAUUUAAAUACGUAAGAGCGUAACUAAUCCAAAAUUAGCACAUACGUUCUUCACUACGCAAUUCCAAGAAAAGUUGACCGUAGUGCAUGCACGUUUGGAUCACUGUGUCGCACAAAAGAAUUUUGAUUCAUAGAUUCGCUGUUCCUUUUAAUUAUAAAUUUUGAACUUUGUUUUUCUCUUUUUUCGAGUUGUUUUAUAGUAAUAAAAAACAUUGAGAGGGAGAGGCGAUUCUAACAUUUUU